GACGUAGGGCGCGAGCGUUGUCCGGAUUUAUUGGGCGUAAAGAGCUCGUAGGCGGCUCGUUGCGUCGGCUGUGAAAACCCGCAGCUCAACUGUGGGCUUGCAGCUGAUACGGGCGGGCUGGAGUUCGGUAGGGGAGACUGGAACUCCUGGUGUAGCGGUGAAAUGCGCAGAUAUCAGGAGGAACACCGGUGGCGAAGGCGGGUCUCUGGGCCGAUACUGACGCUGAGGAGCGAAAGCGUGGGGAGCGAACAGG
rnacentral:rRNA from 1 species